CCUACGGGAGGCUGCAGUGAGGAAUAUUGGUCAAUGGACGAGAGUCUGAACCAGCCAUGCAGCGUGCAGGAUGACUGCCCUAUGGGUUGUAAACUUCUUUUAUACGGGGAUAAACGACGGUAUGCAUACCGUUUUGUAUGUACCAUAUGAAUAAGGAUCGGCUAACUCCGUGCCAGCAGCCGCGGUAAUACGGAGGAUCCGAGCGUUAUCCGGAUUUAUUGGGUUUAAAGGGUGCGUAGGCGGACGGAUAAGUCAGUGGUGAAAGUGUGAGGCUCAACUGUAGAAUUGCAGUUGAUACUGGUCGUCUAGAGAGCAGUAGCGGUAGGCGGAAUGCGUGGUGUAGCGGUGAAAUGCUUAGAUAUCAUACAGAACCCCGAUUGCGAAGGCAGCUUACCAGGCUACUACUGACGCUGAGGCACGAAAGCGUGGGUAGCAAACAGGAUUAGAUACCCUUGUAGUC
rnacentral:rRNA from 1 species